rnacentral:rRNA from 1 species
CAUAUCAAUAAGCGGAGGAAAAGAAACUAACAAGGAUUCCCCUAGUAACUGCGAGUGAAGCGGGAAAAGCUCAAAUUUGAAAUCUGGCAGUUUCUUAACUGUCCGAGUUGUAAUCUAGAGAAGUGUUACCUGUGCUGGACCGUGUACAAGUCUCCUGGAAUGGAGCAUCAUAGAGGGUGAGAAUCCCGUCUUUGACACGGACUACCUGUACAUUAUGGUGUGCUCUCAAAGAGUCGAGUUGUUUGGGAAUGCAGCUCAAAAUGGGUGGUAAAUGCCAUCUAAAGCUAAAUAUUGGCGAGAGACCGAUAGCGAACAAGUACCGUGAGGGAAAGAUGAAAAGAACUUUGGAAAGAGAGUUAAACAGUACGUGAAAUUGCUGAAAGGGAAACGCUUGAAGUCAGUCACAUUGGCUAGAAAUCAGCUUUGCUUUUGCUUGGUGUACUUUCUGGUUGAUGGGUCAGCAUCAAUUUUGACCAUUGGAUAAAGUCUUUGGGAAUGUGGCAUCCUUGGAUGUGUUAUAGCCCAUUGUCGYAUACAGUGGUCGGGAUUGAGGAACUCAGCAYGCCGCAAGGCCAGGUUUCGACCAUGUUCGUGCUUAGGAUGCUGGCAUAAUGGCUUUAAUCGACCCGUCUUGAAACACGGACCAAGGAGUCUAACAUGCCUGCGAGUGUUUGGGUGGAAAACCCAUGCGCGUAAUGAAAGUGAAAGUUGAGAUCCCUGAAAGGGGAGCAUUGACGCCCGGACCAGACCUUUUGUGACGGAUCCGCGGUAGAGCAUGUAUGUUGGGACCCGAAAGAUGGUGAACUAUGCCUGAAUAGGGUGAAGCCAGAGGAAACUCUGGUGGAGGCUCGUAGCGAUUCUGACGUGCAAAUCGAUCGUCAAAUUUGGGUAUAGGGGCGAAAGACUAAUCGAACCAUCUAGU